AUGAGAAUGAAGAAAGGUUGCAGGUGGAUGAAGGCGGCUAUAGAAGUUUGUUAUGAUCUGUUAGAUGAGCUGGUAGAAUCGGUUAGGAGGGCAAGCUUAGUGACUUAUGGGAUUUGUGAAUUGAUGCUGCAGAUUUGGGAAUAUGACGUCAAGGCUUGCAAGUUUUAUGCUUUGUCGUGGUCACGAGGAAUGGUCAAAAGAAGGCGAAGUUGUGAUGGGGCAAAACAGUUGUUUGAAGUUGGUUGA